CUCAGCUGUUUCCGAUAGCUCUAAAUGCCAGCCUCGCCUUCCACUCGGACUUGUUUGGGUUGCGUGCUAAUUGGUGAAAUUAACUUCCCUGUGCUUCCCGUGCACUCCCCAGCUGCACCAUUAAUGACUCCUCCUAACCUGCACCUGGUUGUCAGUGUCUGCAUCCGGAGCUCACAACCCCGCCAGUUUGUGAGUCAAUCUGGUGGAUCGUUUCGGAAGCAGAGUGCAUCCUCCAGAUGUUGCAGCAUCUUUAAACACGACUGCGGAGAGGCGGAGCCGACGGUCCGACGGCAAGGCAGGGCACGCUGGAGCCCUGCCCAAGAUGGCGGCAAGGAGGCGGAGAAUGCGGCUGAGCGGAGAGGCAGGUGCGUGGCUCGCACAACGGGAAACAAUUAACAUUUCUCCUUACGCUGCAUAAAAGGGGAGAAGGAGGAGAGAUCGGGGCGGAAGGAGAUGGAGAGCCUGCAGGAGUGGAUGAGGAGCGAAAGCGAGAAAGAGCAAGACGGAGACGACGACGGAGUGGCGAGCAGUGGGAGCGACGACGGCGAAAAAGACUUCUCUUUUCUUGAAAAAUAAACGAGAGUCAAACCUG